UGGCCACAUUGAAAGACACAAUCUCACCCUUCUGGCUGGUUCUUGGACCAUGAUAGCUGACACAAGCUGGGCCAGAGUCUUAGGAGGGUCUGCUGGUGACCUUGAUUGGUCCUCCCCUGAUGGAUUGCUAUUUGUUAUAGUCCUCUACAGAGUGGCACCCAUGUUGGAUCUUAGCUUUAAAAUUGAGUUUGCUCCCUCCAUAGUUGACCUUUCCUUAUAAAUGGUCUUGAAUGUUUUGCCAUUUAAGUACCACUACCUUGGUUAGGUUAGUAGACAAACUAUCUAGGCCACAACUGGCCAACUUGCACAUAGAGCCCCAAUCAGUUGGUAGAGGAAACCAUGUGGCUUCCUGGUUCUUAUUUGCUAGGGACCAUUCUGUAGAUGGCUAUAUUUUAGCAGAUUUGGUUACAGUUAGAGAUCUUCAACUUAAUUUUUACUCUGCUUUCAGAUUGCUGUGUGUUGUGAGGUGGAUACUGAGAAUUGAACCCAAGGCUUCCUGCUCUAUCACAGAGUGAUUACAUCCCCAGCCCUUUAAAACUUUUUUUUCAAAUUUUUAUUUUGAGGUAGGAUUCCACUAAAGUUGCUGAGGUUGGUCUUGAACUUGCAAUCCCUCUUACGUCAGGUUCCUGGGUAGCUGGAAUUAUAGGUGUGUGCCACCAUGUGGCUCUAGACUGAUUUUUCUAAUAGUAGCUUUAAUGUUGUAGCUUUAAUUCUAGUUUAUGAGUUGGCUUUGUGUUUCUGGCCCUCUGGCCAAGUCCAGACCACAGCUUGUUUUUGUAAACGAAGAAGUUUUAUUAGAACACAAACACUUCUGUUCAUUUACAUAUGAUCUAUGGCUGCUUUUGUACUGCAAAGACAGAGUCCAAUAGUUUCAACAAAGACCAAUACAAAUCCUUAAACAGCUGGGCAUGGUGACACAUGCCUGUAAUCCCAGCAGCUGGGGAGGCUGAGGAAGGAGGAUCAAAGUUUGAGGCCAGAUUUGCAGGUAAAUGGAUGGAGUUGGAGAAUAUAAUGCUAAGUGAGGUUAGCCAAUCCCAUAAAACCAAAUGCUGAAUGUUUUCUCCUGAUAUAAGGAAGCUGAUUUAUAAUACGGUUGGGAGCGGGAGCAUAGGAGGAUUAGAUGAACUCUAGAUAGGGGAGAGGGGUGGGAAGGAAGGAGCGGGCAUGGGGGUAAAAAGGAGGGUGGAACGAGAUGGAUAUCAUUACCCUAAGCACCCCUGGGUUCAAUCUUCAGUACCAAAAAAAAGGGCUGGGGAUCAGUGAUAGAGUGGGUGCUUAGCAUUAUGAGGUUCAGGGUUUGAUGCUUGGCACCAAAACAAACAAACAACACCCCCCCCCAAAAAAAAAAACCCACCAAAACCCAAAUAAACAAACAACAACAACAAAAACGCUGAUUUAUUUGACAAAGGGAAGAAGAGAUUUCACCGGGUCAGGUGAAGUAGCCCAUGCCCAUAAUCACAGUAACUGGUGGCUGAGGCAGUAGAAUCUUUUUUUUUUUUUUUUUUUUUUGUAUUGGAGAUUUAACCCAAGGGUGCUUUACCACUGAGUCACAUCCCCAAUCCUUUUUAUGUUUUGUUUUAUUUUGAGACAGGGUCUCACUAAAUUACUUAGAGCCUUGCUGAGUUGCUGAGGCUGAUCUUGAACAUUGCAAUCCUCCUGUCAGCCUCCUAAACUGCUGGGAUUACAGGUAUGCACCACCACAUCUGGCCAGGAGAGUCUUUUGAGCCCAGGAGCUAGAGGUCAGCUUGGGCCAUAUAGAAAAAUCCUGUCUCAAAACCAAAAACAGAACAAAAUAAAACAAAAAUCAAAGAAAACAAAAAUCUAAAACAAAGCCAGGCACUGUGGUACAUAUCUGUAAUCUGAGGCUGAGGCAGGAGGAUCCCAAAUUCAAGGGCAACCUGGGCAAUUUAGAGAGACCCUAUUUCAAAAUAAAAAAUCAAAAGGAUUGAGGAUAUAGCUUUGUGGUACAGCACUCCUGAGUUCAAUCCCCAGUACGGGAAACAAAACAAAAUAAAACAAAACACCUAAGAGACCAUAAAAGUAAAAACUAAGAAGAGACUCACCAAAAAAUUUGCUGAGAAGGAGAAACUGAAACCCUGGGGGGAGAGGCUUUAUUGCUUGUUGUUUUCCAAUAAAACUGGGGAGACAGGUUGGCAAGUAAACAGGUUGACUCAAAGCUGGUUUUGAGAAAGUUAAAGGAGAGCUUUAUUCUUUAUCAAAUUUCCACCUUUGGGGACUCAGCAGCAUGGAAAGCCAUCAUAAGAGGAGAGGAGGCACAGUGGAGGAAGAGGCAGAUUUAGCUAGGGGAAAUAUGUCAGUCUUUAAUUUCCUUGGCAUCUGUUCUCAGCAGGAGGAAGUUUUAAUUCUCAGCAGGAGGAAAUUCAAGAGCUAUUUCAAAAUCAAGGGAGUUUUGAGCAUUAGGAAAGGGUUUUCAUGAUAAUAUGCUAAUUAAGAAUUAAAACUGGGGAUGGGGAUGUGGCUCAAGCAGUAGCGCACUCCCUUGGCAUGGGUGCGGUCCGGGUUCGAUCCUCAGCACCACAUACAAACAAAGAUGUUGUGUCCGCCAAAAACUAAAAUGUAAAUAAAAUAUUAAAAAAAAAAAAAGAAUUAAAACUGAACACUUUAGCUGGGCCCGGUGGCCUAUGCCUAUAAUCCCAGUGGCUCAGAGGCCAAAGCAGGAAGAUCAUGAAUUCAAAGCCAGCCUCAGCAAUUUAGCAAGGCCCUAAGCAACUUAGUGAGACCAUGUCUCUAAACAAAAAAUAUAAAACUGGCUGGGGAUGAAGCUCAGUGGUUAAGCCCCCCUGCAUUUGAUCUUCAGUACAAAAGAAAAAAAAAAUUGAACACUUUGUACAGAAUGAAUUCAGAGAUCUGACUCGAUUGGUUAAAAAAAGUCCCAAAGAUACUGGUUGGGAAGGAGUCUUCAGUUAGGUCUGCUAAGAGUCUGACAUUCAGAGAUCACUUAAAGUCCAUAUUUGUUCACUGGCUUCAGCUGGCUGGCAUCAGUUGUGAUUAAAUAAUUUUUUUUUUUUUUUUGUGUGUGUGUGUGUGUGGUGCUGGGGAUCAAACCCAGGGCCUUGUGUGUGGGCGGCAAGCACUCACUCUACGGACUGAGCUAUAUCCCCAGCCUUUGUUUAUUUUCAAUUUUCUGUUUGACAUCUCCUUGGCAAGUCACAUCAUAAAUGGAAAUCUUUUCCUUACCUAUUAUUUUUAUAUACUAUUUGUGAUUGGUAUUAUGAAAACAGACCAAGGUUAUAACAAACUUGGCUCUCCUUCUUUCUUUUCUUUUUUUUACACUGGAGAUUGAACCCAGGGGCACUUUACCACUAAGAAAAAGCCAGCCUCAGCAACUUAGUGAGGCCCUAAGAAACUCAAUGAGAGCCUGUCUCUAGAUAAAAUAUUUUUACAUCACCCCCCUUUAUUUUUUAAAUUUUGAGACAGAAUUUCGCUAAGUUUCUGAGGGCCCUGCUGAGUUGCUGAGGCUGGCCUUGAACUUGUGAUCCUCCUGCUGGGAUUACAGGUGUGUACUACCAUGUCCAGCUCUCUCUUUUUUGUUAAGCAGACCCCAAUUUUGUUUAGGCAUUGGGUGGGCAGCAAUCUGUUCUAGGAUAUAGGUCCCUUGUCCCCCAUCCCAGGGCUGCUUGAUAAGGUGUUGAUAACACUGCCCCUGUUUGCAAGUAAUUAGUCCAAUUCUGACCCAGGGAAAGUCUGCUGGGGUUUCUAAAACUUUUUUCCCUAUUAAAACCAAAAUCUUGCCAGGUGCUGUGGCACAUACUUGUAAUCCCAGUGGCUCUGGAGGCUGAGGCAAGAGGCUCAUGAGUUCAAAGCCAGCCUCCAGCAAUUUAGUAAGCCCUGUUUCAAAAUAAAAUAUAAAGGGCUGGAGUUGUGUCUCCGUGGUAGAGCGCUCACCUAGCAUGUUUGAGGCCUUAGGUUCGAUCCUCAGCACCACAUAAAAAUAAAUAAAAUAAAGGUAUUGUGUCCAACUACAACUAAAAAGCAAAUAUUAAAAAAUAAAAUAUAAAAAGAGCUGGGGAUGUGGCUUAGUGGUUAAGUGACCCUGGGUUCAAUCCCCUGGUAUAAAUAAAUAAAUAAAUAAAAUCUCUGGGCUGGGGAUGUGGCUCAGUGGUUAAGUGACCCUGGGUUUAAUCCCCUGGUACGAAUAAAUAAAUAAAUAAAUAAAUAAAUAAAUAAAUAAAUAAAAUCUCUGGGCUAGGGAUAUAGCUCAGUGGUUGUGCACAUGCUUAAAACCCUGAGGCCGGAGUUCAAUCCCCAGUACAAAACAAGUAAAUAAACUCUUCCAGGAGAAAGGAUCAUUGUCACCUGCCUGCUUCUUCCUAUCUGGAAUGCAGUUGUGUGACAUGUGAUCUUUGGAGUUACAUCAAAUAUCUAGUUCAGUUAGGUGGCAAGCUCAAGGAUGAACCACACCUCCUUCCUAUUGUUGAGCUCCUGCAUUAUCCAUGGAACCUCCAGAUUUCUAAUUGGAGACAAAUAACUCUUUUUUUUUUUUUAAUUGGAGAUUGAACCCAGGGAUGCUUAACCACUGAGUCACAUCCCCAGCCCCUUUUAAAAAUAUUUAUCUAGAGAAGGGUCUCAUUGAGUUUCUUAAGGCCUCACUAAGUUGCUGAGACUGGCUUUAACUCAAGAUCCUCCUGCCUCAGACUCCUGAGCCACUGGGAUUACAGGAGUGUGCCACCAUGCCUGGCUACAAAUAACUUUUUAUUGUGUAAACCUUAAGCACAUGUUAUAUGUUGUGUGAG
rnacentral:lncRNA from 1 species